AAAGUCGUAACAAGGUAACCGUAGGUGAACCUGCGGUUGGAUCAUUAUUGAAUUACAUUUGGUGACAAUUGAAUUAGCGUUUGAUUGGAACCAUAUUGUCAACCCCCCCUGUGAAUGUUGCCUGUAUUUUGGCAGCCCUCCUUGAUUUAUCAUGGUUGAGGAAUCGAACAGUUGACCUUGUGUCCGCUAUUUGCUACUUCAUUUUGAAUCGGCGAUUGAAAUAAGAACUUGAUUGCCUUUUCUUAUGGGCUCGUCCGCUUGUAUCCACACUUGUGUUUUUAUUAUAAAUCCUAGUCUCCAUUAGGUUCAUUUUGUGAAUCUUGUAAUUAUUAAUUUAAUAAACAACUUUUGACAACGGAUCUCUUGGCUCUC
rnacentral:misc_RNA from 1 species